UUGACAGUGCCAUCAACCAAAGAUAAAAAAAAUCCAAGUCCUAAGGUCUAUGAUGAAAGUCUUCCGUUUCCAUGGCGGCCAAUUUGUAAACAAUGAGAGACGUGCUCUCAAUAAAUUUUAACCCCACAGUCUGUAAAACUUAAUAAAAAUGAGUUUUAACAUUGACGAUCCUCUGGCUGGAAUUCUAAGUGAUGGUAGUGAUGACAGUUUUUUCGAUGACGAUGUAUCAGGAAAAAAGAAACCUGUUAAGAAAAAGACCACGCCAACUGUAGAAAAGAAAAGCGCCCUGUUUGAUUUGAGGGAUGCUGAUCCUAAACCCACUGCCAACACUGAAGAUAAGAAGGAUUCGUUGUUCGACAUUGAUUCAAAAAAGUCCCCGACGCCUUUUAAACGGACAGUCUCUAAAGAAUCUAUAAAAUUUACUCAAUCCGAUACUAAAGUAAAGGGGGCACUUGAUAAAUUAGAUACCAGUAAAUCGCCAGCGAAGCCUAAAGUAAGUACGAGUGCAGACAAAUUGGACAUACUUGGUGAUUUGGGUGGAUCAAAAAGAGAGCCAAGUAAACCGAUGGAGAAAGGCAAGAGUGCACAAUCUUUACUCGACGAUAUUUUAGGUGGAUCUUCAACCAAAACCGGGGGCUCCAGCCAGUCAACGAGACCAGUUACUGCAGCAAAAAGUCAGGAAUUUGAUUUCGAUUCUAUUUUGGGGAAAAGUGAAACUAAAACUUCUGUUUCAAGCAAAAGUUUGCCACAGAAACAAACUGUACGAGACAAUGUGAAAGAAGAAAAAGAGGCUCCUGCCAAAAAAACAAAGUCCACAGGAGACUGGCUCGGCAUCUUUCAAGAUAAAGACGACGAUGCCAACGAUUUGGAAGAUGACACCGGAAUGCCGUCUUGGUUGGUCGGAGGGGAGUCUAAAAAGAAAAAGUCUGAAGAGAAGAAAGUUGUUGGUAAACCUGAACCUGCCACCGAAAAAGCAAAGCCAAUUCCACAAAAAGAAGAACAAACUAAAGUUGAGGAAUCCAAAGAAGAAGUGAAAAAGGACGUGGACACUAUGGAGCAGAUGGUGAAACUAAAUCCUCCUUCUAACAUCCUUCACGGAAGCAAUGAAGAUAUAACGGCAGAGGGGGCCGCUCUGUAUAUGCAACAGCAGGAGUCUCAGAUAAUGGUGGCCUUGCAGCUAAAGGCACAGGAAGAAAAACUCGCUGCUUUGCAAAUGCGUCAGAAAGAGAGCCAGCGCGUUCAACGCGAGGCGGCGCAAGCGCAGCAUGCCCAACUGGACGCCAUGUUGCGGAAGCAAGCAGAGAACAGGCAGCAGAUGCAGUCCAUCAUAUCGGCGCAUCAGGAGAGGAUCACACAGAGAAUAAAGGCUCUAUUAGGUCCGGAAAACGUUACAAAUGAAGACGUGCCAAAUUACCAAGAAGAAUAUCAAACGGUUGGGGAUCACAAAGACGCGCCUCACACUCGGGAGAAGAAACAAUUGCUGCAGCUGGUACAGUCAUUGCAGGAGAACCAUGAUAAGGAAAUUGAUCUUAUGGAAACUUCGUACAGGAGACAGUUAGCAUUCCUAGAAGUAUCUCUAAAUCAAACCGAAGAAAGAAUGAAAGAGGAAAGUGAAAAACUGGUGAAGUUUUACUCGGAGAAGAUACAUUGGUUGGAGGAACACCACAAUUUGUACAAGAAGAUGACGGAAGAGAAUUUGGUGGCUCUGACUGAUCGACAUAAGACUGAAAAUGAAAUGCUGAUUCAACAGCAUUUGGAGAAUGUUAGAGUGCUGCAAGAACACCAUGCGGCACUGAUGGAGAAUAUCAAGAAAGCAGUCAAACAGGAACAAGUUCUCAUUCAGGAUUCAGCCAGUUUCUCGUCAGAUCUUAAAGAGUUGCUCAUAGAUGUGAAAGAAAACAAAAAUAAUUGUAAAGAAGUGUUAGAGAAAGUUCAGCUUUUGGUGGAGAGCACUGAACGUAGGAAUGAUGCAAGUGUGCAAGUGAGGGAAACUCAGAUUAAUGAUAUGAUACAACAACUGAAAAAGGAACGCGACAAUAUGGAUGUUGAAAAAGUUGAAAAUAGAGAAACUAUCAAAAUGCUUGAAGCAAGACUGAAGCAAAUGACUUCGAUGAUCGAGGAAGAAUCAGCAACAUUAAAACAAAAAAGAAUGGAAUUUGAAUUCGAGAAAGCAACGUUCAACAAGCAGACAGAAUUUGCUAAAAAUAUACUCAAGAAACAAGAUGAUGAAAUUAAGAUGCUGAGAGAAGAAAUCCAGAAGGAAUAUCACGAAAAAAUUACCAAAAUAGAUGAAGAAAAAGCAAAAGCUAUUAAGGAAAGCGCCUCACUUGCAAGAGAAAAAUCUAGCGUACAAAAUUUUAAACAGGAACUUGAAAAAAUGAAAGCAGAGCUCCAAGCUCAGUUAGAAGAAGUGUCUGAGGAAAAAUCCAAAUUGAAUGUGGAGAAACAACAGUUACAUAUGGAGGAACAACGGAUUAUAGCUAAAAGUCGCGACUUAGACCUCCUUGCAAAGACUGCAAUGGAAAAACAGACCCAUGCUGACAAAAAAUAUUCCGAAGCAGAAUUUAUCCAACGCAUGUACGAAGAGAGGAUCAGGAGGAUUCAAGAGCAUGUGGUUUCCCUGAACUCCAGAGAAAAGCACGUUGCCAAAGAGAAAGUAGCUUUAUCCAGAGAGAGGUUACACCUUCAUAACGAGAGGAAACAGAUAGAAAGUAGGCAGCAAUGUUCCUUGUGCAAGUCUUCGCAGAAUAUCCUGCCGUACUACGAAACAAAUUAUCCCUUACCUGAUUCUUUCAUGAAUGUGGCAGUCAGUAGAGAUUACAAGAGUUCCAAUGUGACGAAUGCCAUGAAUGCUAUUGAAGAAGAAAUGGCGCAUCUGAUGGGCAGGAACCUGAAUUUGAGACACAGUGCUGGGAUUGGGGAUCUGAGCCAUCACGCUGAUCGAUUUCAGAAUGAGGAGAGACAUCAGAAAUCGACUGAAUCUAUGCCGGAAUCGGGACCUUUUAAAGUGAGUUGGAAUUUUAGCUCUUAUUUUGAAUCGAUCAUCAGUUAUGGCUCUCGAUUUAAAAUUCGAAGCAAUCGAAACCUUUGUUGAUUAAUUUGGAAAGGACGUAGAUAUACUUUACUAUGGACUAUGGAUGUCCGUAUGUUCUUUUACGGAUUUACUCUUCAUGCAGAUAUGUAAUACAAUGUUUGUCCUAGCGUGGGUUCAAAAAAGAUUCGGUUGUUACAAAAAUUAUGACUGGAGGAGUAUUUGGAUCCAAAAUUCAUGAUGUUGCGUUUAGAUGUACAAAAAGUGUUGAGUAAUUUGGACCACAAUAAAAAAGAUGAUGCCGACUUGGUUGCCGAGGAAGAAACGGAAGAAGAUUGAGC